GAUGAACGCUGGCGGCGUGCCUAAUACAUGCAAGUCGAGCGAACAGACGAGGAGCUUGCUCCUCUGACGUUAGCGGCGGACGGGUGAGUAACACGUGGAUAACCUACCUAUAAGACUGGGAUAACUUCGGGAAACCGGAGCUAAUACCGGAUAAUAUAUUGAACCGCAUGGUUCAAUAGUGAAAGACGGUUUUGCUGUCACUUAUAGAUGGAUCCGCGCCGCAUUAGCUCGUUGGUACGGUAACGGCUUACCAAGGCAACGAUGCGUAGCCGACCUGAGAGGGUGAUCGGCCACACUGGAACUGAGACACGGUCCAGACGCCUACGGGAGGCAGCAGUAGGGAAUCUUCCGCAAUGGGCGAAAGCCUGACGGAGCAACGCCGCGUGAGUGAUGAAGGUCUUCGGAUCGUAAAACUCUGUUAUUAGGGAAGAACAAAUGUGUAAGUAACUAUGCACGUCUUGACGGUACCUAAUCAGAAAGCCACGGCUAACUACGUG
rnacentral:rRNA from 1 species